rnacentral:lncRNA from 1 species
CCUCAGGCUCCCAUAGUGCUGGGAUUACAGGCGUGAGCCACCACGCCCAGCUGGGAUCCUUAAGUAAAGAAAAACGUUGAAUUAUUUCACUCUAAAACUUUCCAGGGGAGUUGGCAUUUUCCCUGGCUUUAAAGUCUUGCUUAUACCAUCACAGUAACUAGAGGCUUUCUUCUUUCAUUUUUGGCUUGUUGUUUUAAUCUGCUAUGCUGAUAUCUGGCAGUUUGCAGCAUAAGCAAAGUCAUUGUCGGCAUCAGCAACAAAAUCAUUAACCUGAAUUAUUGAUUACCUCCUACAUACAGUGAUGGAUGGCUUAACAAUGGAGAUAUGUUCCAAGAAAUGUGUCGUUAGGUGAUUUCACCAUUGUGUGAACAUCAUAGAGAUGAUUUACACAAAGCUGAAUGGUAUAGCCUACUAUGCACCUAGGCUGCAUGGUAUAGCCUAUCACUCUUAGGCUACGAACCUAUGCAGCAUGUCACUGUACUAAAUUCCAUAGGUAAUUGUAACACAAUGGUAAAAAUUUGUGUAUCUAACCAUAUUUA